rnacentral:rRNA from 1 species
CAGCCGCCGCGGUAAUACGAAGGGGGCUAGCGUUGUUCGGAAUCACUGGGCGUAAAGCGCACGUAGGCGGAUACUUAAGUCAGGGGUGAAAUCCCGGGGCUCAACCUCGGAACUGCCUUUGAUACUGGGUAUCUUGAGUCCGGGAGAGGUUGGUGGGACUCCGAGUGUAGAGGUGAAAUUCGUAGAUAUUCGGAAGAACACCAGUGGCGAAGGCGGCCAACUGGCCCGGUACUGACGCUGAGGUGCGAAAGCGUGGGGAGCAAACAGGAUUAGAUACCCGAGUAGUCCCUGUCUCUUAUAC